rnacentral:rRNA from 1 species
CCUACGGGGUGCAGCAGUCGAGAAUCAUUCACAAUGGGGGAAACCCUGAUGGUGCGACGCCGCGUGGGGGAAUGAAGGUCUUCGGAUUGUAAACCCCUGUCAUGUGGGAGCAAAUUAAAAAGAUAGUACCACAAGAGGAAGAGACGGCUAACUCUGUGCCAGCAGCCGCGGUAAUACAGAGGUCUCAAGCGUUGUUCGGAAUCACUGGGCGUAAGGCGUGCGUAGGCUGUUUCGUAAGUCGUGUGUGAAAGGCGCGGGCUCAACCCGCGGACGGCACAUGACACUGCGAGACUAGAGUAAUGGAGGGGGAACCGGAAUUCUCGGUGUAGCAGUGAAAUGCGUAGAUAUCGAGAGGAACACUCGUGGCGAAGGCGGGUUCCUGGACAUUAACUGACGCUGAGGCACGAAGGCCAGGGGAGCGAAAGGGAUUAGAUACCCUAGUAGUC